rnacentral:rRNA from 1 species
AAACGAACCUUCGGGUUAGUGGCGGACGGGUGAGUAACGCGUGAGAAUCUGCCCUCAGGAGGGGGAUAACGGCUGGAAACGGCCGCUAAUACCCCAUAUGCCGAGAGGUGAAACGAGUUUUCGCCUGAGGAUGAGCUCGCGUCUGAUUAGCUAGUUGGUGGGGUAAGAGCCUACCAAGGCAUCGAUCAGUAGCUGGUCUGAGAGGAUGAUCAGCCACACUGGGACUGAGACACGGCCCAGACUCCUACGGGAGGCAGCAGUGGGGAAUUUUCCGCAAUGGGCGAAAGCCUGACGGAGCAACGCCGCGUGAGGGAUGAAGGCCUCUGGGCUGUAAACCUCUUUUAUCAAGGAAGAAGAUCUGACGGUACUUGAUGAAUAAGCCACGGCUAAUUCCGUGCCUGCAGCCGCGGUAAUACGGGAGUGGCAAGCGUUAUCCGGAAUUAUUGGGCGUAAAGCGUCCGCAGGCGGCCUGAUAAGUCUGUUGUCAAAGCGUGGAGCUCAACUCCAUUUCGGCAAUGGAGACUGUGAGGCUUGAGUGUGGUAGGGGCAGAGGGAAUUCCCGGUGUAGCGGUGAAAUGCGUAGAUAUCGGGAAGAACACCAGUGGCGAAGGCGCUCUGCUGGGCCAUAACUGGCGCUCAUGGACGAAAGCCAGGGGAGCGAAAGGGAUUAGAUACCCCUGUAGUCCUGGCCGUAAACGAUGAACACUAGGUGUCGGGGGAAUCGACCCCCUCGGUGUCGUAGCCAACGCGUUAAGUGUUCCGCCUGGGGAGUACGCACGCAAGUGUGAAACUCAAAGGAAUUGACGGGGGCCCGCACAAGCGGUGGAGUAUGUGGUUUAAUUCGAUGCAACGCGAAGAACCUUACCAGGGUUUGACAUCCUGCGAAUCCCUUGGAAACGAGGGAGUGCCUUCGGGAGCGCAGAGACAGGUGGUGCAUGGCUGUCGUCAGCUCGUGUCGUGAGAUGUUGGGUUAAGUCCCGCAACGAGCGCAACCCACGUCUUUAGUUGCCAGCAUUGAGUUGGGCACUCUAGAGAGACCGCCGGUGAUAAACCGGAGGAAGGUGUGGAUGACGUCAAGUCAUCAUGCCCCUUACAUCCUGGGCUACACACGUACUACAAUGCUACGGACAAAGGGCAGCAAACUCGCGAGAGCUAGCAAAUCCCAUAAACCGUGGCUCAGUUCAGAUCGUAGGCUGCAACUCGCCUACGUGAAGGAGGAAUCGCUAGUAAUCGCAGGUCAGCAUACUGCGGUGAAUACGUUCCCGGGCCUUGUACACACCGCCCGUCACACCAUGGAAGUUGGCCACGCCCGAAGCCGUUACUCCAACCCUUGUGGAGGAGGACGUCGAAGGUGGGGCUGAUGACUGGGGUGAAGUCGUAACAAGGUA